GUCAAGUUGGACUAAGCUGGCCUCUUAUACUGGAAGAGAGGGAAUUUGGAAGAGGAAAUCCAUCACCAGAGAAAAAGUGAGAAGUCUGGGCAAGUGACUGUCAAUAGGAGAAAGGGAAGAUCACCGGUGAAUGGAAAGGGCAAUUUAAAUGGAGAAAAAUGACAACAGACUGCUCCACUUCUAAUGGCAUCAAAUGGUUUGAAUCUGACAUUGAUGGGGUACUUUGAGAAGCUACUAUCAGUUCUCUCAGUUCUUCCUUUCCCUUUGCCCUCCCACUGGACUCAGAAUUCAGGGCUGAAGAAAAGACACAGCAGGUAGCUAUCACCCAGGAAUGGAGCAGCAAUUUCAUCUCCAUCUGAAGUCCUUGGAAUAUGAAUGACAAUCACAAGAGGAAUGUGAGUAAUGCUCAGGGAUGACUGGACCUCACAGGCAACGGGAUGUUCAUAUCCAAAGUGUAACGUGAAGUCUUGCCAGCACCUUUCCUCUCUCUUCAGAACCUGGAUCUGAAAUGCA